rnacentral:rRNA from 1 species
GACGAACGCUGGCGGCGUGCUUAACACAUGCAAGUCGAACGGAAAGGCCCUGCUUGCCGGGUACUCGAGUGGCGAACGGGUGAGUAACACGUGGGUGAUCUGCCCUGCACUUCGGGAUAAGCUUGGGAAACUGGGUCUAAUACCGGAUAGGAGCCAUCUUUAGUGUGGUGGUUGGAAAGUUUUUUCGGUGUAGGAUGAGCUCGCGGCCUAUCAGCUUGUUGGUGGGGUAAUGGCCUACCAAGGCAGCGACGGGUAGCCGGCCUGAGAGGGUGUACGGCCACAUUGGGACUGAGAUACGGCCCAGACUCCUACGGGAGGCAGCAGUGGGGAAUAUUGCACAAUGGGCGCAAGCCUGAUGCAGCGACGCCGCGUGGGGGAUGAAGGCCUUCGGGUUGUAAACUCCUUUCGCUAGGGACGAAGCUUUUUGUGACGGUACCUAGAGAAGAAGCACCGGCUAACUACGUG